GAUGAACGCUGGCGGCGUGCCUAAUACAUGCAAGUCGAGCGAACAGACGAGGAGCUUGCUCCUUUGACGUUAGCGGCGGACGGGUGAGUAACACGUGGAUAACCUACCUAUAAGACUGGGAUAACUUCGGGAAACCGGCGCUAAUACGGGAUAAUAUAUUGAACCGCAUGGUUCAAUAGUGAAAGACGGCUUUGCUGUCACUUAUAGCUGGUUCCGCGCCGCAUUAGCUAGUUGGGAAGGUAAAGGCUUACCACGGCGACGAGGCGUAGCCGACGGGAGAGGGGGAUCGGCCACACGGGAACGUGGACACGGUCCAGACGCCUACGGGAGGCAGCAGUAGGCAAUCGUCCGCAAUGGGCGAAAGCCUGACAGAGCAGCGCCACGUGAGUGGUGAAGAUCUUCCGAUCGUAAAGCUGUGUUAUUGGGUAAGAACAAAUGUGUAAGUAACUAUGCACGUCUUGACGGUACCUGAUCAGAAAGCCACGGCUAACUACGUG
rnacentral:rRNA from 1 species